GGGAUGGGUUCUCCGUGGGUUUCGUCGCCGUGGGAACAUCGUGGUGAGUGCGGUGCACAACGGGAUGACAGUGCCUACUGCACAGGGAGGCUGCAGACCUGUGUGGCGCUCCCGGGACCCAGCACCACAGGCAGUCGGAACACAGGAGCGAGCGGCUCUCGCAGCUGGGCAACCUCAGAGCAUUCGUACCAUCACCCUGGAAAGAAGCCCUGCAGCCUGCAGCCUCAGUGACAUCAGCUGAAGCCUGGAGGAAAGACCUGGGCAGGUGGACUGGGUGAGGCAGGGCGAGAAGGCUCAGGCCGUGCCCCAGGUGGACUGCGAGGUCGGCCACGGCCACAGGUCCCCUUCCCUCCUCUGGUUCUGGAUUACCUCUGAAUACAAGUUGGUGUCGAUUGAGCACCUGCGUGCCAGGCUCCGGAUGUGACUUAGGGAUCCUGUGCUGGGGGCUUGGGGGAGCAGGUGGGUGGGAGGAGCUUCUUUUUUCCCACUGGCAAAUAGUUCUGCCCCCUGGUGGCCACAGUCAGCAGUGCAAGUGUCAGUCUCUGGGUCCAUUCCUCUUCCCACUGCGCACCCCCCAGACCCCAACAUCAGACAUAACCACGGAGUCCCGGGCAUCCCUGUGAGCCAAGCUCUGGCUGGUCUUUCCUGCAGUCCUUUGACACACACAAAGUGCUCCCUGUGUUGAGCUUGGCCCGGUGGCUGGUGGAGGAGGGGGGGGCAUGUCCGUAACUAACCAGCUUUUGGAGGCGUCAAGGGUUCCUGAACCAGUUCGAUGUAAGGAGACAGAGAAGGCAGCCUAGGCGCAGGCUGAGACCUGAAGGACGAGUAGAAAUGAAUCAGAAGUGACUGAGAAAGGAGCGGACGCUUAGCUCAGAGCUGAAGACGCCAGUUAAAAAAGCCGGGGCCAUCCCAGCUCUGGCUCCUGACUCCAGCUUCCUGCUGAUGCGCACCCUGGGAGUCAGCAGCGAUGGCUCAAGUAGUUGGGUCCCUGCCACCCUCCUGGGAGACCCAGAUGAGUUCUCAGUUCCCAGCCUCGCUCCAGCCCCAUCCCAGCUGCUGCAGGCAUUUGGGGAUUGCCCUCGGAGGCACUAGGGAGCCACGGAAGAGUUUUGAGAAGGGGAGGGACAGGGUGAGAUAGACAUGCUAGACAGACCUCUGACUGCUAUGUAGGAGGUGGCUGGAGCAGGCUGAUGCCAGGCCCAUCCUACUUCCUCGGGGUCCAGGGUGGGAG
rnacentral:lncRNA from 1 species